AGACCUGCUCUGACUGGAGGCUGCAGCAGUGUCCUGUGGCUACUGCCAUCGACUUCCCUGCUGCCACUGUGACAGCAGUCUCGGCUUAGUAAGUUCCUUGGCUAGAGCUCUCCAUUUGCUCUCAUGAGCAGUCAGGUGCCCAGCAGCGCAGGUCUAAACUGUCCUGUCCUGUGGGGAAAACACCUUCCAACAGCACUCUGCAGAGCUAGCCCCAUGUGCACUGAGAUGGGUCAGCUUUCAGGUCCCCUCCUCAAGUACCUGUACUCACCUAGACAAGAACUCAUCACCCUUGGGAAAUCCCAAGACAGGGGCCUCAGACAGAAGAGCUCCAGGCAGACACUGUGUCUGGGCAGGGCAUCCAGGGUCCGGGUACCUGCCAUCCUGCCUAGUUUAGGCUCAGCACAAGUCUACAGCAUCAGCACCCUAUGGUAGCCACCCGCGCUUAAACACCUGCCCCUCUCUAGGUCCUUUGGUAUCUGCCAUGUCAUCAGAAGUACCAUGUGACCAAGGAGGAGGUCGGGCCCCACUGAAGGUGCCCAUGGGAAUAUGGGGAUUCUCUCCUCUUACCUAGUUUUUCAGCUUGGCUGGGCAGGUAGGGAUGGGCUUGAUUCAGGGUGGGAAUCAAAUUUCCUGAGAGAAGGCCACUUACACUUCUGUGACUUUAGGUAUCAGCUGUAAGGACAAAAAAAAAAAAAGAAUAAAAUUCAAUUUUUUUUCCAACCAA
rnacentral:lncRNA from 1 species